GAAACCCUGAGGUGAGAACAACAUUACCAAUCAGUGAUCAAUGGACAACAAAUCAAUAAUGGAUUAAUGACAUUAUCAGUAGUAACCAAUAGAAAACAUGGACCCUAUUGACCUGAGGACGACAGUGCAUUAUCAAGGACAUUGAGGACAUGAAAACAAUGCCAAUGAUUGCCUAUGGGAAGCAGUACCUGGAGAUUACUGUACAUUCUGUGACAUGUUUAGUAAAUGUAGGAGUAUGAUGUUAUAUUAUAUAUGUUUUACGAUCAAAUUGGAAUAUUGUGUGAAAACAUGAAUACAUAAGCAAGAACAAUUGGGUCCAUUACCAUAUAUCCAAAGAAACAUAAUAGAAAUUCCAACGACAGACAGACAGACGCUAAUAUACAGACAAGCAGAACGAAAACAGACAGAUAGGCGAAUGGACGGACAAGUAGACAGACAGGCAGACAAAUACAUACAUACAGACAGGGAAAUAUACA